CAGAUCUGCUGAUAACUAUUAAUCCAGUAGAAUUACAGAGAGGUGGAAUUCACUGCCGACUGCCUGGUCAGGCGGGCAGCAGAAGGUCUCACACAGCUCUCUGAGGUCUCAUGCCACUGCAAAGAGGUGAAAUAGCUGUCUGGAGUGAUUCUCACUAAAUGUUAAUACCGAAUAUUUCUCAAUGCCAUCCUGGGUGGCAGCUGUUCUGUGUGAAUGCCCACAAACAUUUUCAAUGUAAGAAUUUGU